CUUGUUCUUUAAAUAGGGACUCGUAUCAACGGCAUCACGAGGGUUGCACUGUCUCCUUUCUCCCAUCAGUGAAACUGAUCUCCCCGUGAAAAAGCGGGGAUAUUAAUAUAAGACGAGAAGACCCCAUGGAGCUUUAAACCCACAGCAACUCUAUAACCUACCCCCCCAAAUUACAGAGUAGUGCACGUCGGCUUUAGGUUGGGGUGACCGCGGAGUAAAAAUCAACCUCCAUGACGAAAAGAGCUAAAUCUUUAUCUAAGAGCUACCACUCUAAGAAUUAGUACACUAACGUAAAUGACCCAAUAAUGAUCAACGAACCAAGUUACCCUGGGGAUAACAGCGCAAUCUACUUCAAGAGCCCCUAUCGACAAGUAGGCUUACGACCUCGAUGUUGGAUCAGGGUACCCCAGUGGUGCAACCGCUACUAAAGGUUC
rnacentral:rRNA from 1 species